rnacentral:rRNA from 1 species
AGCGAACGCUGGCGGCAGGCUUAACACAUGCAAGUCGAGCGGGCCCUUCGGGGUCAGCGGCGGACGGGUGAGUAACGCGUGGGAACGUGCCUUCUGGUCUGGAAUAACCCUGGGAAACUAGGGCUAAUACCGGAUACGCCCUUUUGGGGAAAGGUUUACUGCCGGAAGAUCGGCCCGCGUCUGAUUAGCUAGUUGGUGGGGUAACGGCCUACCAAGGCGACGAUCAGUAGCUGGUCUGAGAGGACGAUCAGCCACACUGGGACUGAGACACGGCCCAGACUCCUACGGGAGGCAGCAGUGGGGAAUAUUGGACAAUGGGCGCAAGCCUGAUCCAGCCAUGCCGCGUGAGUGAUGAAGGCCUUAGGGUUGUAAAGCUCUUUUAUCCGGGACGAUAAUGACGGUACCGGAGGAAUAAGCCCCGGCUAACUUCGUG